rnacentral:rRNA from 1 species
UACAGAGGGGGCCAGCGUUAUUCGGAAUUACUGGGCGUAAAGGGCUCGUAGGUGGCCAACUAAGUCAGACGUGAAAUCCCUCGGCUUAACCGGGGAACUGCGUCUGAUACUGGAUGGCUUGAGUUCGGGAGAGGGAUGCGGAAUUCCAGGUGUAGCGGUGAAAUGCGUAGAUAUCUGGAGGAACACCGGUGGCGAAGGCGGCAUCCUGGACCGAUACUGACGCUGAGGAGCGAAAGCCAGGGGAGCAAACAGG